UGACUAUGUCGGAAACGGCUCCUGC
rnacentral:piRNA from 1 species